AACGAACGCUGGCGGCAGGCCUAACACAUGCAAGUCGAACGCUGUAGCAAUACAGAGUGGCAGACGGGUGAGUAACGCGUGGGAACGUGCCUUUCGGUUCGGAAUAACUCAGGGAAACUUGAGCUAAUACCGGAUACGCCCUUAGGGGGAAAGAUUUAUUGCCGAAAGAUCGGCCCGCGUGCGAUUAGCUAGUUGGUGUGGUAAUGGAGCACCAAGGCGACGAUCGGUAGCUGGUCUGAGAGGAUGAUCAGCCACACUGGGACUGAGACACGGCCCAGACUCCUACGGGAGGCAGCAGUGGGGAAUAUUGGACAAUGGGCGCAAGCCUGAUCCAGCCAUGCCGCGUGAGUGAUGAAGGCCCUAGGGUUGUAAAGCUCUUUCGCCAGGGACGAUAAUGACGGUACCUGGAUAAGAAGCCCCGGCUAACUUCGUGCCAGCAGCCGCCGUAAAAC
rnacentral:rRNA from 1 species